rnacentral:rRNA from 1 species
CCCUUAGAUGUUCUGGGCCGCACGCGCGCUACACUGAUGCAUUCAACGAGUUUCUUCCUGGUCCGAGAGGAAUGGGUAACCUUUUGAAAGUGCAUCGUGAUAGGGAUAGACUAUUGCAAUUAUUGGUCUUCAACGAGGAAUUCCUAGUAGACGUAGUUCAUCAGACUGCAUCGAUUACGUCCCUGCCCUUUGUACACACCGCCUGUCGCUCCUACCGACUGAAUGCUCAGGUGAGCCAUUCGGACUUUCAUCAUGCUGGUUUCCAGUUUUGAUGAAGGAAAGUCUUGCGAACCUUAUCAUUUAGAGGAAGGAGAAGUCGUAACA